rnacentral:lncRNA from 1 species
CCUCUGCAAAAUUGAAUGUAUGGUACUGCCAAAAUUUAGCAGACAGCUAACAAUAAAUGAAAUUUUCACAGAGAAGAGCAGAAAAUGCCGUAAGGAUUCCCAGAGGGGUUAGAGAUUUUGGUAAGGUUGUUGCUGGCUUUUGGGGAAUGUUUAGAGAAUCUGGAACAAAUGAAUAAUGAUUUGUGGUUACUUGUCUGUUAUUGUGCAGGAUAAAUAUUUAAGUUGUACUUGUUAGCUUGUAAAGAUGUUCAAUUCAACUCUGAAUCGAUUAUCAUAUUCAUAUUAUAUAAAUAUAUCAAAUUGUUACAUACAUAUCAAGGUCAUGUGACAUGGAACUAUGUUAUGGUUCCAUAAGGAGUAAUGCUUUC